rnacentral:lncRNA from 1 species
CGCAAAUAUACAAAAUAAAUGAAAAAUUAAAUGUUUAUUUAAAAGAAUAUGAAGUUAAUUGGAUUUAUCCCAGUUUUAAUUAUCAGUGAAUUUAUAAAAUAUCUCUGAUUUAAAAGAAAACCCCAAAGUACUGACAUACCGUGAAAGGUUGUUCCCGGCUUGUGUCUACUACUCUGAAAAAUUAUUCAAACCUGAACAGAAUUAAUAUGGUUAAGGAAAUGCAGCAUGAUUGGACUUUGCUCCUCUUAUUCUAAUCCAGGAAAAUACCACUCAUCUAGCAUGAAAGAAAACAGGAGUUUACUACAGUGGAUAUAGUUUCUCAUCUGAGCACUGCAGAACAGCAAGAUGAGUUUCAAACUCGAUUAAGAAAUGUUUUGGAAAUAGCUCUGGCAAUUGGUCACAGUGCAGACAUAUGUUCACAAGCUACAAACCUUUCAAACAGCCAUAACCACAGACAAUGGAGGCAAUGCUCUCUCAUAUAAUUUCUGCUUCCAAAAACAUCUGCCAUGUGCCACACCUCUGCCUUGUAUAUCAAUACCAGUGAUGCCUGACAACAAUCCAGGGGGACUCACCAGGAAGAUUCCAUCUAUAAUAUCAAGAUACAUCUGCAUGUGAUCGUUCUGCAAGAAACACUUCUAAAGAGAUUGAAGGAAAUAAUGCUCUCACCAUGCAGGACUUUAGCAGUUGGAAAAUCAGAUUUCUCUAUUUUGUGGUCAGCUACAUUGUGGCCACAGUAACUGAAAAGGCAAUUACCUGCAGUCUAGCUAGUGACUCAGAUUAGAUGCUCUAAUGUCUGAUUAAUUUAGCUGCAUUUUCUCUUAAGUCUCCAUUUCUCUAAUUCCAUAAUGGAUCAUUAAUCUUAAUUUCCAUGAAUUCAUCCCAAAAUCAUUAAAAUGUAUUUUGAUUGCAACAAAGUUUAUAGCUCUAUCCACAGAUAUUACCCUUGUUAAGGGAAAAAACAUUUUCCCCUACACUUCCCAAUGAAACUUGAAUUUAUUAGACUUUUGCCUUGCAAAUCCAGAUUUCAUGGUGUUUUUCUUAUUUAUUUCUUACUCAUGUCUAAGUAUAAACUUUG